CACCUGGCUGUCCCUGGGCACUUGCUGAAAUAAAGACCUGAGCUCUGGAUCUGUGCCCUUUCUAGCACUGCUGCUGUUCAUGAAGAUUUGAAAGACUGGGUGGAAACAGAAGGGGAAAACCAGUCUCUAAGAGGACCUUGAUUAAGAGAGAGAGAGAGAG